rnacentral:snRNA from 1 species
ACGCUCUCAUUGGCAGCACAUACGAUAAAACUGAAACAAUGAGAUUUAGCACGGCCCCUGCCCAAGGAUGACGGGCAAAUUCACGAAGUAUUCCAUAUUUUC